GACGAACGCUGGCGGCGUGCCUAAUACAUGCAAGUCGAACGCAGUGGGGACGGGUGAGUAACACGUGGGUAACCUCCCAUCAGAGGGGAUAACACUUGGAAACAGGUGCUAAACCGAUACUGAUGGAUGGACCCGCGGUGCAUUAGCUAGUUGGUGAGGUAACGGCUCACCAAGGCCACGAUGCAUAGACGACCUGAGAGGGGUAGCGGCCACCUGGGGACUGUGACACGGCCCAGACUCCUAGGGGAGGCAGCAGUAGGGAAUCUUCGGCAAUGUACGAAAGUCUGACCUGGCAACGGGGCGGGAGUGAAGAAGGUUUUCGGAUCGUAAAACUCUGUUGUUAGAGAAGCGGUAUCUAACCAGAAAGCCACGGCUAACUACGUGCCAGCCGCCGCGGUAAUUC
rnacentral:rRNA from 1 species